rnacentral:rRNA from 1 species
CCCUUAGAUGUUCUGGGCCGCACGCGCGCUACAAUGGUCUUCGCAAACGGAUGCAUUCUCGAAGGAGAAUGCCAAUCUUGGAAUCUAUGCCUUGGUCGGGACAGUUGCUUGCAAUUUUUCGACUCGAACCAGGAAUUCCUUGUAAUCGUGAUUCAUCACAUCACGAUGAAUACGUCCCUGCCCUUUGUACACACCGCCCGUCGCUCCUACCGAUCGAAGAGUUAGGUGAAUUGUUUUGAUCGAUAAGAUUUGACUAUGGUCAACUCUCGUUGUGAAAUUCUUUGAAUCUGACUGUUUAGAGGAAGGAAAAGUCGUAACA